rnacentral:rRNA from 1 species
AGUGAACGCUGGCGGUAGGCCUAACACAUGCAAGUCGAACGGCAGCACAGUAAGAGCUUGCUCUUACGGGUGGCGAGUGGCGGACGGGUGAGGAAUACAUCGGAAUCUACUUUUUCGUGGGGGAUAACGUAGGGAAACUUACGCUAAUACCGCAUACGACCUACGGGUGAAAGCAGGGGAUCUUCGGACCUUGCGCGAUUGAAUGAGCCGAUGUCGGAUUAGCUAGUUGGCGGGGUAAAGGCCCACCAAGGCGACGAUCCGUAGCUGGUCUGAGAGGAUGAUCAGCCACACUGGAACUGAGACACGGUACAGACUCAUACGGGAGGCAGCAGUGGGGAAUAUUGGACAAUGGGCGCAAGCCUGAUCCAGCCAUACCGCGUGGGUGAAGAAGGCCUUCGGGUUGUAAAGCCCUUUUGUUGGGAAAGAAAAGCAGCAGGUUAAGACCCCGCUGUUCUGACGGUACCCAAAGAAUAAGCACCGGCUAACUGCGU